ACGGCUCAGUAACACGUGGAUAACCUGCCCUAAGGAAGGGGAUAACCCCGGGAAACUGGGGAUAAUACCCUAUAGGUUACAGAUGCUGGAAUGCUCUGUAACCGAAAGCUCCGGCGCCUUAGGAUGGAUCUGCGGCCGAUUAGGUUGUUGUCGGGGUAACGGCCCAACAAGCCAGUAAUCGGUACGGGUUGUGGGAGCAAGAGCCCGGAGUUGGAUUCUGAGACACGAAUCCAGGCCCUACGGGGCGCAGCAGGCGCGAAAACUUUACAAUGCGGGCAACCGUGAUAAGGGAACCUCGAGUGCCUGUAUAUGCAGGCUGUCUGGGUGUCUAAAACACACCUAAAGAAAGGGCCGGGCAAGACCGGUGCCAGCCGCCGCGGUAAUACCGGCGGCUCGAGUGGUGGCCACUUUUAUUGGGCUUAAAGCGUUCGUAGCUGGGUUAUUAAGUCCCUUGGGAAAUCCGACGGCUUAACCGUCGGGCGUCUAAGGGAUACUGGUAAUCUUGGAACCGGGAGAGGUGAGGGGUACUUCGGGGGUAGGAGUGAAAUCCUGUAAUCCUCGAGGGACCACCUGUGGCGAAGGCGCCUCACCAGAACGGCUUCGACAGUGAGGGACGAAAGCUGGGGGAGCAAACCGGAUUAGAUACCCGGGUAGUCCCAGCCGUAAACGAUGUGCGUUAGGUGUAUCGGUGACCACGAGUCACCGAGGUGCCGAAGGGAAACCGUGAAACGUACCGCCUGGGAAGUACGGUCGCAAGGCUGAAACUUAAAGGAAUUGGCGGGGGAGCACA
rnacentral:rRNA from 1 species